rnacentral:rRNA from 1 species
AGCAGCCGCGGUAAUUCCAGCUCCAAUAGCGUAUAUUAAAGUUGUUGCAGUUAAAAAGCUCGUAGUUGAAUUUCGGGAUCAAUAUUUCGGUCAUGCCGUUGGUAUGCACUGUUAUCAUUGAUUUCUCACCUUCUAAAGAACCGUAAUGCCAUUAAUUUGGUGUUACGGGGAAUUAGGACUGUUACCUUGAAAAAAUUAGAGUGUUUAAAGCAGGCUCACGCUUGAAUACAUUAGCAUGGAAUAAUGAAAUAGGACAUCCGAUUCUAUUUUGUUGGUUUCUAGGAUCGAUGUAAUGAUUAAUAGGGAUAGUUGGGGGCAUUAGUAUUCAAUUGUCAGAGGUGAAAUUCUUGGAUUUAUUGAAGCCUAACUACUGCGAAAGCAUUUGCCAAGGAUGUUUUCAUUAAUCAAGAACGAAAGUUAGGGGAUCGAAGACGAUCAGAUACCGUCGUAGUCUUAACCAUAAACUAUGCCGACUAGGGAUCGGAUGAUGUUAAUUUUUUAAUGACUC